rnacentral:rRNA from 1 species
UACGUAGGGCGCAAGCGUUGUCCGGAAUUAUUGGGCGUAAAGAGCUCGUAGGCGGCCAGUUGCGUCUGCUGUGAAAUCCCGGGGCUCAACCCCGGGCGUGCAGUGGAUACGGGCUGGCUGGAGGCAGGCAGGGGAGAACGGAAUUCCCGGUGUAGCGGUGAAAUGCGCAGAUAUCAGGAGGAACACCGGUGGCGAAGGCGGGUCUCUGGGCAGUAACUGACGCUGAGGAGCGAAAGCGUGGGGAGCGAACAGG